GACGAACGCUGGCGGCGUGCCUAAUACAUGCAAGUUGAGCGAUGAAGAUUGGUGCUUGCACCAAUUUGAAGAGCAGCGAACGGGUGAGUAACGCGUGGGGAAUCUGCCUUUGAGCGGGGGACAACAUUUGGAAACGAAUGCUAAUACCGCAUAACAACUUUAAACAUAAGUUUUAAGUUUGAAAGAUGCAAUUGCAUCACUCAAAGAUGAUCCCGCGUUGUAUUAGCUAGUUGGUGAGGUAAAGGCUCACCAAGGCGAUGAUACAUAGCCGACCUGAGAGGGUGAUCGGCCACAUUGGGACUGAGACACGGCCCAAACUCCUGCGGGAGGCAGCAGUAGGGAAUCUUCGGCAAUGGACGAAAGUCUGACCGAGCAACGCCGCGUGAGUGAAGGAGGUUUUCGGAUCGUAAAACUCUGUUGGUAGAGAAGAACGUUGGUGAGAGUGGAAAGCUCAUCAAGUGACGGUAACUACCCAGAAAGGGACGGCUAACUACGUG
rnacentral:rRNA from 1 species